ACCGCACGCGCGCUACACUGACAGAGCCAACGAGUUUCAUUUCCUUGCCCGGAAGGGUUGGGUAAUCUUGUUAAACUCUGUCGUGCUGGGGGAUAGAGCAUUGCAAUUAUUGCUCUUCAACGAGGAAUGCCUAGUAAGCGUACGUCAUCAGCGUGCGUUGAUUACGUCCCUGCCCUUUGUACACACCGCCCGUCGCUACUACCGAUUGAAUGGCUGAGUGAGGCCUUCGGACUGGCCCAGGGAGGUCGGCAACGACCACCCAGGGCCGGAAAGUUGGUCAAACUCCGUCAUUUAGAGGAAGUAAAAGUCGUAACAAGGUUUCCGUAGGUGAACCUGCGGAAGGAUCAUUAAAGAGUAAGGGUGCUCAGCGCCCGACCUCCAACCCUUUGUUGUUAAAACUACCUUGUUGCUUUGGCGGGACCGCUCGGUUCCGAGCCGCUGGGGAUUCGUCCCAGGCGAGUGCCCGCCAGAGUUAAACCAAACUCUUGUUAUUAAACCGGUCGUCUGAGUUAAAAUUUUGAAUAAAUCAAAACUUUCAACAACGGAUCUCUUGGUUCUCGCAUCGAUGAAGAACGCACCGAAAUGCGAUAAGUAAUGUGAAUUGCA
rnacentral:rRNA from 1 species